UACGUAGGGUGCGAAGCGUUGUCCGGAAUUAUUUGGGCGUAAAGAGCUCGUAGGCGGUCUGUUGCUGUCCGCUGUGCAAAACUCGGGGCUUAACCCCGAGCCUGCAGUGGAUACGGGCAGACUAGAGGCAGGUAGGGGAGAAUGGAAUUCCCGGUGUAGCGGUGAAAUGCGCAGAUAUCGGGAGGAACACCGGUGGCGAAGGCGGUCUCUGGGCCUGACCUGACGCUGAGGAGCGAAAGCGUGGGGAGCGAACAGGAUUGAGAUACCCGUGGUAAGCAUCCGAGAACCCA
rnacentral:rRNA from 1 species